rnacentral:rRNA from 1 species
GUCCACGCCGUAAACGAUGGAUACUUGGUGUUGGAGGUAUUGACCCCUUCAGUGCCGAAGCUAACGCGUUAAGUAUCCCGCCUGGGAAGUACGGUCGCAAGAUUAAAACUCAAAGAAAUUGACGGGGGCCCGCACAAGCGGUGGAGCAUGUGGUUCAAUUCGAUGCAACGCGAAGAACCUUACCUAGGUUUGACAUGUAGUGGAAGACUACCAGAAAUGGUGUCGCCUUCGGGCCGCUACACAGGUGCUGCAUGGCUGUCGU